UCAUUUCUCCCAUAGUGGUCGGCCAAACCAGAAAAGAAGAGAAACCAAGGAAGAACAAAUCCUAGGCGGGAAAAAUUAAAGAGAAAGUGUUGGAAUUCAAGGAUUUGAUCAAGCAAAUGUAAAAUUUCUUUGAUUUUGCUAGUGAUUCACCUUACCCAUGCAUUUUUCCUUAAUUUCCAUGGUUGAAAAGCAUGCUUUCAUGGUGAAUUCAUAGCUGGUCAAAAUGGGUAUGGAGAGAGAAUGAUCUUGGAUUGGUUUGAUUUUUAGGUAUGUUAGUAUUUUUAGGUGAUUAAUAAUGUGUAGCAUAAAAACAAGUGAAGAAAACCACCAAAGGUUUGGUGCCCAUCAAUAGCCGAAUUCUCUAAGUGAAUAAUGAGCAAGAAUGUGAUGUUAUUCUAGGUGAUUUGAUUAAGAAAUAAUAGUCUUUGGUGAAUUGAGGGAUUGAAAAAGAAAUGGAGCAAGUUGGAGUGAAAUUGGACGCAUUGGCCAAUUUAUCUGAUGAAAAAUUGACUUAGGCCAAUAUCGGGUCUAGAUGGCUACCCGUGCAUUUUUCAUUUCAUAUCACGCAUAUAUAUCGAGCCUGAAAUAGCUUAUGACUGUUAGACACAAUUUAAUUGAAAUAUGUGCCAUGGAUUAUGGCUAGGUGGUGAGCCAUUAGAUACGGGUAAAGGAUUGUAUCCGGGAACUGAAAAUAGGAGUAUUUCUACUCCUAAUACUGUGAGUGGACAAUUUAUCGUCUUAAAUAUCUAAAGUAAUUAUACUUGUUUGAUGCUUUUAUUGAAUGGUGAGUUUACAUUAUAAAAUAUUAUGUUUUCCAAUUAAAUUUUUUUUUUAAUAAAAAUGAGAUUUAUACUGGUUUUGAAAUCAAAUAUUGUUUUGGGAAAUUUGAGUAUAUGGAGAUUGUGUUGAAUUUAUGAUUUUAUAUGUUAUUGAAAUUGUCGCUUAUGACACUAUGUUAGCAUGAUGGCUAAAUUUUUGGGGUUGGCAUGAAAUAUAUGAACAGUUUUGGAUUGGUCUUGAUAGAUUGGAUUACAUUUUAUUCGCCAUAUUAUGCUACUGAAAAUUUUAUGGGUCUGGUGGUAUAUUAAACGAUCACUGCAAUGGUGAGGGUUUCUAUAGACUGCCUAUGAGAGGGGCACUGUGAAGCCCGACCUUAUAAAUACUUGUCAUGACAUACAUGUGAUGGAUAGUAUGUUUACAUGCUAGGAGAGUCCCGAAAAAUUUACAAAAAGUCGGUAUUGCACCUAGAGGAACAACAAAGUUGAUUUAAACCUCGAACUAGAUCAAAUAGAGAAUUUAGGGUGAAAUUUAAAAUUUUACAGUCAAAGAAUGACUUAAAAUGGUGAUUCAGAGUUCGAUGAUUAAUUUGGAGUCAAACUGAAAUUUUCAAAACCUAGGGGCAAAAUGGUCAUUUUGCCACCUGAGGUUAAGAUGUGAGUGUUGGAUGAAAUUUUUGACUAAGAUUGAUCAAGAUUGACUAUUUAGAACACAAUUUGAUGUUGAUAAGUGAAAAAAAUUGUAAUCUUGGUAUUUUUGGAGCAUAGGGGCAAAAUGGUAAUUUUGUCACUUUAGGGGCAAAAUUGUAAUUUUCCACCACCAGGACAUUUGUCCAGCACAUGGUCUUCCCUUAUCCUCAUUUUGACCUUUGACUAAUCAUGUGGUGGAGAUAAAAGGUUUAAAAUUUUUAAAGUUUUAAAAAUGGAUCAAUAAAAAAAUGACAAGUGUGAAGCUUAGGAUAUUUUAUUAUUUAACUUAAAAAUCAGCAUAAAUCAGCCCAUUAUCCCUCCAAAAAUUUGGUCAAGCAAGGAAGAGAGGGAAAGAAAGGAAGAACAAACCCUAGGUGAAGAAUUUGAAGAGAAAAAAUGUGGAAAAUCAAGGAAAACAAGUGAAAAAGGUAAGAUUUUUCAACUUAAGCUCGAAAUCUAUUUUCCUUAAGCAUUUCUCCUUAUUUUUCAUGCUUAAAUUACAUGUUUUCAUGAUGAAUUCAUGGCUGAGCAAAAUGGGUAAGGAGAGAGAAAGAUGUUGAAUUGAUUUGAUUUUGAGAUAUGUUAGUGUUUUUAGUUAGUUUAGCAUAUUUAGAAACAAAACAACAAGAAAAGAAUUCAUUUUCUCCCACAACCAUCAAUAGCCGAAUUUACCAUGUGUUGAGUGAGGAUGAAUUUGAUUUUUAUUCUAGGAGAAUUGGUUAGAAAAUGAUGAAUUAUGGUGUGAAAAAGUAGUAGGAAAAAUCACGGUGUUAAUGCACCAUUAUUGGCCAAAAAUUUUAAGAAGAAAAGUAUAGACAGUUUUGCCAAAUUUUAGGUUAUUUGAUUUGAGUUUGGUGAAUUAAGAUAUUGGAAAAGAAUUGGAACAAUUUGGAGUAAUUUGGGAUUAAAUCGGACGCGUUAGUAAUUUAAUCGAGUGAUAGGACGAAUUAGGCCAAUACCGAAUUUAGAUAGUUAUCAGUGCAUUUUUGCAUUCCAUACCAUGCAUUAGUAGUCUAAAUUAGUUUAAUUUCAAUUUAGUACCAAUGUAGUAAGUUUCUCGAUUUUGUACUGUGUCAAGGUGGUGAGUCCUCCAAUAAAGGUAAAAAAAUUACACCCGAAGACCAGUAGUCUGAGUAUUUCGAGAAUCUGCACUCUAGACAUUGUGAGUAAACUUAUUGUCAUUUUAAUUAUCUAGGAUGGUUUUUAGAUGAUUUCAUGAAUUCUAUGGAAAAAGGAAUUUAAAAAGGUAAAUUUUCAUGUUUUAUGAAUAAAUAUGUUUCAAUGAAAUUAAUUUAUAAAUUGUUUUGAAAUUAAUAAUGAUGUUGAAAAAUAGAGUACACGGAGACUGUUAAUUGUUGGAAUUCGAUUGUUUAAAUUGAUUGGCUUAUGAUAAAUCGAGCAUGAUUGGCUAGCUGGCAAUUAUAUUGAAAUACGAAUUAUUUGUUUACCUUGAAAGACUGUGAAUAAAAUAAUUGUCAUGUCAUGCUAUUGUAAAUUUUAUUGAAUUGGUGGAUUAUAUAUUAAUUAAUCACUGCAAUAGGGGGUUUCUGUGGACCAGCCUUUUAGAGGGGUAACUAUCGAUCGGAGAGGCGCGUAGGGUAUCUCCUGGGGUAAAGUUUAAGGUUCACUUCACGCUAAACCACCACGUGAGGGUGAACUCAGCCAACGCCAAGGAACGGCUGUGAUGUCCAACGAAAAAUGUGUUUUAUGUGAAAUGUGAAUUUUUAACAGCCUUGGCGAUCUCGGUAGGAUGCCUCGGCCAAGGUGUCCCCGAGGAUGGAUUUAUGGCACAAGCCUAGUUUUUAUGAGAUUCAUAAGCCUCUUUACGUAUUUUGAAUGAAAUGUGUUCUAAUGUUGUGACCCAAUUUACGAUGAUUUAUUUUAUUGUCUCCAUGUACUCAACUCUAGAUGUUUAUGAUGAUGUCUGUUUACUCACUAAGAUUUUAUAAUCUCACCACCCUCCUUUCCAUCCAUUUCAAGCUCAGAUUAGACUGUAGAUAGCUGAUCUCAUCGAGGACUAUUGUGAGAUUUGCAUUCUCUAAACCAUAGGUUCACAGUCCUCUUUACUUUUAGUCAUUCAGGGGUCCACUGGUUAUUGUAAAUUAAAUAUCAUACUCUAGUUAUGUGUACUACUGUAUGUAGAAAUUUAUUUUGCUUUUACGCUGUAAAAAAAUUAUUUACGCAGUGUUUUAAAAA
rnacentral:lncRNA from 1 species